rnacentral:rRNA from 1 species
GAUGAACGCUGGCGGCGUGCCUAAUACAUGCAAGUCGAGCGAACGGACGAGAAGCUUGCUUCUCUGAUGUUAGCGGCGGACGGGUGAGUAACACGUGGAUAACCUACCUAUAAGACUGGGAUAACUUCGGGAAACCGGAGCUAAUACCGGAUGAUAUUUUGAACCGCAUGGUUCAAAAGUGAAGGACGGUCUUGCUGUCACUUAUAGAUGGAUCCGCGCUGCAUUAGCUAGUUGGUAAGGUAACGGCUUACCAAGGCAACGAUGCAUAGCCGACCUGAGAGGGUGAUCGGCCACACUGGAACUGAGACACGGUCCAGACUCCUACGGGAGGCAGCAGUAGGGAAUCUUCCGCAAUGGGCGGAAGCCUGACGGAGCAACGCCGCGUGAGUGAUGAAGGUCUUCGGAUCGUAAAACUCUGUUAUUAGGGAAGAACAUAUGUGUAAGUAACUGUGCACAUCUUGACGGUACCUAAUCAGAAAGCCACGGCUAACUACGUG